rnacentral:rRNA from 1 species
GAUGAACGCUGGCGGCGUGCUUAACACAUGCAAGUCGAACGAUGAUCCCAGCUUGCUGGGGGAUUAGUGGCGAACGGGUGAGUAACACGUGAGUAACCUGCCCUUGACUCUGGGAUAAGCCUGGGAAACUGGGUCUAAUACCGGAUAUGACUCCUCAUCGCAUGGUGGGGGGUGGAAAGCUUUUGUGGUUUUGGAUGGACUCGCGGCCUAUCAGCUUGUUGGUGGGGUAAUGGCCUACCAAGGCGACGACGGGUAGCCGGCCUGAGAGGGUGACCGGCCACACUGGGACUGAGACACGGCCCAGACUCCUACGGGAGGCAGCAGUGGGGAAUAUUGCACAAUGGGCGCAAGCCUGAUGCAGCGACGCCGCGUGAGGGAUGACGGCCUUCGGGUUGUAAACCUCUUUCAGUAGGGAAGAAGCGUAAGUGACGGUACCUGCAGAAGAAGCGCCGGCUAACUACGUGCCAGCAGCCGCAGUAA